UGAUGUGCUAAAGUGUCGGUUU
rnacentral:miRNA from 1 species